GUGCUCACUUUGGCAGCACAUACAAUAAAACUGGAACAAUACAGAGAUCACACGACCCCUGUGCAAGGGUCACACGCACAUUUGUGAAGCAUCCCAUAUUUUU
ensembl:snRNA U6 U6 spliceosomal RNA